GUCGAGAAUCUUUCACAAUGGGGGCAACCCUGAUGGAGCGACGCCGCGUGGAGGAUAAGGUCUUCGGAUUGUAAACUCCUGUCAUGCGUGAACAAGGUUGCUUGGUUAAUACCUGGGCAAAUUGAUGGUAACGCAAGAGGAAGAGACGGCUAACUCUGUGCCAGCAGCCGCGGUAAUACAGAGGUCUCAAGCGUUGUUCGGAAUCACUGGGCGUAAAGGGUGCGUAGGUGGCGUGGUAAGUCAGAUGUGAAAGCCCGGGGCUCAACAUCGGAACUGCAUCCGAUACUGCCAUGCUGGAGUACUGGAGAGGUGACUAGAAUUCUCGGUGUAGCAGUGAAAUGCGUAGAUAUCGAGAGGAAUACCAAAGGCGUAGGCAGGUCACUGGACAGUUACUGACACUGAGGCACGAAGGCCAGGGGAGCGAACGGGAUUAGAUACCCGUGUAGUCC
rnacentral:rRNA from 1 species